UAGGGAAUAUUGGACAAUGGGGGCAACCCUGAUCCAGCCAUGCCGCGUGAGUGAUGAAGGCCUUAGGGUUGUAAAGCUCUUUCGGCGGGGAAGCGGUACCCGCAUAAGAAGCCCCGGCUAACUUCGUGCCAGCAGCCGCGGUAAUACGAAGGGGGCUAGCGUUGCUCGGAAUCACUGGGCGUAAAGCGCACGUAGGCGGACUCUUAAGUCAGGGGUGAAAUCCUGGAGCUCAACUCCAGAACUGCCUUUGAUACUGGGAGCCUUGAGUUCGGGAGAGGUGAGUGGAACUGCGAGUGUAGAGGUGAAAUUCGUAGAUAUUCGCAAGAACACCAGUGCGAAGCGGCUCACUGGCCCGAACUGACGCUGAGGUGCGAAAGCGUGGGGAGCAAACAGGAUUAGAUACCCCAGUAGU
rnacentral:rRNA from 1 species